rnacentral:antisense_RNA from 1 species
CUUGACCGAGCCGAUCCACAACGGACGGUCCGCGGCGAUCUCCUUGCCAUAGGUGGCCAGCAGCGCCUGGACCUC